rnacentral:rRNA from 1 species
UACGGGGGGGGCAAGCGUUGUUCGGAAUUACUGGGCGUAAAGGGCUCGUAGGCGGCCCUCUCAGUCGGAUGUGAAAUCCCCAGGCUUAACCUGGGAAUGGCACCCGAUACUGGAGGUCUUGAAUUCGGGAGAGGGAUGCAGAAUUCCAGGUGUAGCGGUGAAAUGCGUAGAUAUCUGGAGGAAUACCGGUGGCGAAGGCGGCAUCCUGGACCGAGAUUGACACUGAUGAGCGAAAGCCAGGGGAGCAAACGGG